UACAACAAACUUUCACCAUACAAAAUAAUAAAUAAAAAACACCCAAGAAAAAGUUUGAAUGUACAAAGGUUAGUCUUAUUAACGUAAUUGUGAUCAUUUUUGUUAAAAAUAGUGACGUCGUUUUUUUAUUUUUUUUUAAAAAUAGGAAAUGUCACUAUUUUAAAUGGAAAUCGAACAUGUCUAUUGACGAAAUUAACGUUGAGCAUUUGAACUUUUAAUUGAGUAUGUUAUUUUGUAUGUUGAAGGUGUAUUGUA
rnacentral:pre_miRNA from 1 species